UUAAAUUAUCACUAAAAUAUAUAUAUUUGAUAAAUUGUAUAUCAAAUUGGAAUUAAGUUAAAACUUCUGUAGUGUGGGUAAAUAAGUUUCUAAAGUAAUAUAGCUUGGUAAAAAUCUCUUUUCAAAAUCGUUUUAGCCCAAAUCUAUUAAAACUUGGACGGGUUAGACGGGUCAAAUUAGGUUGGGGUGGGUCAAAUAAUUAUAAGUACUCUUUUGCAAUUCAGUCAAAAGUAAAAAAUACGUUUAUUUUAAAAAGAAAAUUAGAAAAAGCAGCAGCUCCUUCACUUUCGCCACUGCAAGCUCGCGCUUGGCCAACCGGUUCCAAUGCCGCUGGGCUGUGGCCUGUGGCACUAUGGCUCAAGGAAGAUUUGGAGCUUAUCAUCAGCAUGUCUCUUAAGGAGCCCUCAAGCCACGAGGUUAAGAUUGCAAAAAUCAACCAAGUUCAGCUGUUGGUCCAACCCAUGUCCACUUGGCUCCGGAAUUCUUCCUACGAGGUUUGUGGUUUCAUAUGUCUCAGUUUGUUGAUCCCAGGAACAUAUACGUAUCAUUUCAUUGGUAAUUUUAUCAAAAUUUUACGCAAAAUGUGGCUAUAUGUGUACUCCUAAAUUUAUGCAAGUAGAGUGAGUUUUUUGCCAAAUGCAACUUGUCUUCUUAGUCAUCCAUUCAUGAAUGCUCUAAUUCCUCCUCUUCUGGUCUUUUACAAUUGUAUGACCUCUUUCUUGGUCAAGUAUUAGUGCAGAUAUAAAACAUCUCAGGGCUUGGUGGUUGAAUUCUAUUUGCACCUCAAGUGGCGUGCCAACAUCUCUUUGGUCCAGUUAAGCACAUUUGCCUCUUAAUACAGAUGUAGCUUUAAAAGUGCGCUUCAGGAGUCUCAGCACAUAUGAAAAUUCACGACUUUGAAAAAUACAAUUCGAGCACAUAACAAGUAUGUACAGUUGUCCAUCCUUUAAAUAUUUACUCUUUAUGAUAUGAAUCCAGUUAGAAAGGGAACUAGAAAUAAUUUUUAACUACAAGAUUAUGUUGAGCUGGUACGAUUUGUUGGUGUUGAUAAGCUCCUCAAGUUAUUGCCUAAUUUCAAUUUUCCCUGGGUUAUUGCACUUGGCUGAUCUUAUUACUCAAGUUUCACCUCCAUAUUGUUUGUAUGGUGCAGCAACAGUACACCGCACUCUAAUUAUUUACCACACCUGCCACGGUGUUGUUAAACACGUCUUCCUGACAAAGGCUAAUUUGAGUUAAGUUUUUUCUUUCAAUUUAAUCAAAGGUAAUUGCCGAAGCGGGAUUAAUAUAUAUUUCGUGUUUCUCUUAAACAAAUUAGGUGAUUAAGUUUAGAAAAAGUUAUACUGCAUUUCGAAUAUCAUGUACAUUCCUUUCUCAUGCUUAUCAUUUUCUUAAUAUUUGUGAAAAGUUCGGCUUUUGGUGCAUAGGCAUUAUUUGUUGAAUCAAACAGUUUUUUUUGAAUAAAUGAAAAUCUUGGAGAAACAAAGACGAAGUAGGGUAUCAACCUGAAUUCACUAAGCAUAAGCUUUACAUAAAUGUGCAAAAUCUGAAAAAUAGUCAAAGAAAAAUGCCACUCAUAUCUGUAAUUUCUUAUCUUUCGCCUGAAUCAGACCCUAAAUGCACCGGGACAUUGAUCAAACAAAGGUGAUUAAGUUGAGCAAUAUCUUCAUUAAAUUCUUUUACGUUAAAUUUAUUUAGGAGAGGAUCCAAAUUAAGUUGGUUGCUAAGAUGAUCCAUUCAUUGUUGGAUUAUUUCAGGUCAUCUCAUUGACAUCUCAGCUUUGGAAACUAGUUUUAUUUAUUUAUGUUCUAUGUAUGAACAUCCACUUGAACAUCUCAGCUUUGGAAACUAGUUUUAUUUAUUUAUGAACAUCUACCGCUGGCUUUAUACAGUUCUUUCUUUCUAAAAAAGCGUCAUGAAAUUUUGAAUUAAUUGCUAUAGUUAAGAAUCCCCACAAGGUGGAACUCUCAGCCUUGUUGAAGAUUUGGUUUCUAUGUGUGCCUACUGAUUGGGUGCCUGUCCUAUUAAAUUCUACACGUUUCAUAGAUUAUGUCAUUUCUUGAGGAGACUGCCACAUUGUAAGUGGGAGAAUGAAUCAAUUAACUUCCUGACUGGUAUUGUCGGCAUUCGGUAAUGAAUAUGUAAUGUCGACUAUCCUUUUCUUUUAUGACUUGGACUUCUACUGUUUGUAAAGACAUGUACAUUAUGAUGAUUGGUAAAGUUGUGUUGUUUUUCAAAAUCUCAUUUGUGCUUAUUGAACAUACAUAGAUAUAAUUAUGUGUCUACAUUGGCGUAUGUACUUAAGGACAGAAGUUCAUUAAUACUGAUUGUAGCAGAGCAUCUGGUCCUAAAUUCUCAAAAGACGGCGACAACCUUUGUGAAUAUAUGUCACCUGUUAACUAAAAUCGAUGUUCCUGAAAUAGUGCCUGCUCAAAGAAUGGUGAUUUUUAAAUCUUUUAUUUAUUUAUCUAUUUGUUAAUUUGUGUAUGGUGAUUGAAACAACACAGUCAUCCUAAUGUUUUACUUGCAUCUCCAUUUUAUGAGUUAAAUCUCGUGUACAACAAAAGAACAAGAAUAUAGAUGCUAAAUUCAGCAGAGUGGCGCUCAAGAUUUAUGUUGUCUGAUGUAUUUGAAGGGGGGAGUUGCAGGCAAUCUUUCCUCAGGUUACAUAGUAUCUCAUCAUCCUGUAUGUGGAAGACACUAGACAUCUCAGCGGAGAGAAGACGACCUGGAAUUCGUAGGGUAAAUAUUUUGUUCUAUUCACUUCAUAAUUUGAGUUAGAUAAGUCCUUUUUUCGCUGUUUGAAAUUCAAGUCAUGUAAGUAUCUGAAUAUGCAGACCAUUUGUCAAGAAAAUAUUCAAAUGCUUCAUGACUAUUUCUCCUUGUAAGUAACCUGAUUAUGUAGUAUGCUUUGGAGUCUCCAACAUCAGCCUGUUGUCAUUAACUCUGAUGCUUAGUUUAACCAACCUGAAUGAUAGUUCUCAUACUAUCAUGUUUUUAUAGACCAAGUCGAAAAGCAAAAUGAAGAUUUGAAUAAUGUUGCUUGGACAUGGUUAGGGGGUUGGAAUAUGAUGAAUUUUCUCAUUCUUUCUUGAUUCAAUUCUUUUAGUUAUUGCCCCAUGUGGAUGCUAUAGACUUGCUAUUAUGUUUGCUUGUGUUGUACUUAAAUCAUUUCUUCUUUGGUUGGUUUGAGCGGAUGAAUGGCUAAGGAGGGAUAUGACAAGUUUGUUCCAUUUCUAA